rnacentral:rRNA from 1 species
AUUGAACGCUAGCGGGAUGCUUUACACAUGCAAGUCGAACGAGCGGCGGACGGGUGAGUAAUAUAUCGGAACGUGCCCAGUAGCGGGGGAUAACUACUCGAAAGAGUGGCUAAUACCGCAUACUAUUGUAUAUGCCGAGAUCGGAUUAGCGAGUGGGUGGGGUAAAGGCUAACCAAGGCGACGAUCCGUAGCUGGUCUGAGAGGAAGACCAGCCACACUGGGACGUAGACACGGCCCAGACUCCUACGGGAGGCAGCAGUGGGGAAUUUUGGACAAUGGGGGAAACCCUGAGGCAGCCAUCCCGCGUGUGUGAGAAGGCCUUCGGGUUGUAAAGUACUUUUGGCAGAGAAGCGGUAUCUGCAGAAUAAGCCCCGGCUAACUCCGUGCCAGCAGCCGCGGUAAUAC